GACGAACGCUGGCGGCGUGCUUAACACAUGCAAGUCGAACGGAAAGGCCCUGCUUUCGUGGGGUGCUCGAGUGGCGAACGGGUGAGUAACACGUGUGUAACCUGCCCUUGACUUUGGUAUAACUUCAGGAAACUGGGGCUAAUACCGGAUAGGAGCUCCUGCUGCAUGGUGGGGGUUGGAAAGUUUCGGCGGAUGGGGAUGGACGCGCGGCUUAUCAUCUUGUUGGUGGGGUUGUGGCUUACCAAGGCUUUGACGGGUAGCCGGCCUGAGAGGGUGGCCGGCAACAUUGGGAAUGAGAUGCGGACCAGACUACGACGGGAGGCAGUGGUGGGGAAUAUUGCACGAUGGGCGGAAGCCUGAUGCAGCAACGCGGCGUGCGGGAUGACGGCCUUCGGGUUGUAAACCGCUUUCGCCUGUGACGAAGCGUGAGUGACGGUAAUGGGUAAAGAAGCACCGGCUAACUACGUG
rnacentral:rRNA from 1 species